UUAGUACGGCGAGUGAAGCGGUAAAAGCUCAAAUUUGAAAUCUGGUACUUUCAGUGCCCGAGUUGUAAUUUGUAGAAUUUGUCUUUGAUUAGGUCCUUGUCUAUGUUCCUUGGAACAGGACGUCAUAGAGGGUGAGAAUCCCGUUUGGCGAGGAUACCUUUUCUCUGUAAGACUUUUUCGAAGAGUCGAGUUGUUUGGGAAUGCAGCUCAAAGUGGGUGGUAAAUUCCAUCUAAAGCUAAAUAUUGGCGAGAGACCGAUAGCGAACAAGUACAGUGAUGGAAAGAUGAAAAGAACUUUGAAAAGAGAGUGAAAAAGUACGUGAAAUUGUUGAAAGGGAAGGGCAUUUGAUCAGACAUGGUGUUUUUUGCAUGCACUCGCCUCUCGUGGGCUUGGGCCUCUCAAAAAUUUCACUGGGCCAACAUCAAUUCUGGCAGUAGGAUAAAUCAUUAAGAAUGUAGCUACCUCGGUAGUGUUAUAGCUUAUUGGAAUACUGCUAGCUGGGAUUGAGGACUGCGCUUCGGCAAGGAUGUUGGCAUAAUGGUUAAAUGCCGCCCGUCUUGA
rnacentral:rRNA from 1 species